rnacentral:misc_RNA from 1 species
AAGAGAUUUGCCCCUCGGGGUAUUAUCCCACCCUUUGUUUAUAUUACUUUGUUGCUUUGGCGGGCCCGUCUUCGGACCACUGGCAUAUGCUAGUCUGUGCCUGCCAGAGGACCACAAAACUCUUUAAUUUAUGUCGUCUGAGUACUAUAUAAUAGUUA